UAGCCAUUAUUUGUCUUGAACACUGGACUCAGAAAAAUUAAGCCAUGGGAAAUGUCGUAUGUCUUAUAAUACUUGCAGGACUGAGUUCUUUCUGUCUCUGUGUGCAUCAGCAUCAAUAUGUCUUAUUUCAAACUCCAAAAACCUGGACUGAUGCACAGAGUUACUGCAGGGAAACAUGCAUUGACCUGGCCACAAUCGAAGACAUGAAUGAGAUGGAAAUGGCUCUUCAAAGUGUUGGAAGCGACUACAGUGAUGCCGUAUGGAUUGGGUUGCACAGAGGAAAGGAGCUAAAGUGGCAUUGGUCUCUGGCAGACAAAUACUUCUACGAGGAUGGAGAAAGAAAUUAUAUAAAAUGGAGAAUGCCUUUAAGUGGUGAUAACUGUGCUACUUUCAGUAAUGGAAAACUUUCUACACUCUCCUGUCUUGAAGAUAGACAUUCAGUCUGCUUUGAUAG